rnacentral:rRNA from 1 species
UACGAAGGGUGCAAGCGUUAAUCGGAAUUACUGGGCGUAAAGGGUGCGUAGGCGGUUGUUUAAGUCUGUCGUGAAAUCCCCGGGCUCAACCUGGGAAUGGCGAUGGAUACUGGGCAGCUAGAGUGCGGCAGAGGAUGGUGGAAUUCCCGGUGUAGCGGUGAAAUGCGUAGAGAUCGGGAGGAACAUCAGUGGCGAAGGCGGCCAUCUGGGACAACACUGACGCUGAAGCACGAAAGCGUGGGGAGCAAACAGG